AACGAACGCUGGCGGCAGGCCUCAAACAUGCAAGUCUAGGGGGUGUAGCAAUACAUCACCGGCGGACGGGUGCGUAACGCGUGGGAAUAUACCUAUCGAUUCGGAACAACUGAGGGAAACUUCAGCUAAUACCGAAUACGUCCUAACGGAGAAAGAUUUAUCGUCGAUAGAUUAGCCCGCGUUCGAUUAGCUAGUUGGUGGGGUAACGGCCCACCAAGGCGACGAUCGAUAGCUGUUCUGAGAGGAAGAUCAGCCACACUGGGACUGAGACACGGCCCAGACUCCUACGGGAGGCAGCAGUUGGGAAUCUUGGACAAUGGGGGAAACCCUGAUCCAGCCAUGCCGCGUGAGUGAUGAAGGCCUUCGGUUGUAAAACUCUUUCGUCGCACGACGAUAAUGACGGUAGUGCGAGAAGAAGCUCCGGCUAAACCUUCGUUGCCAGCAGCCGCGGUAAU
rnacentral:rRNA from 1 species